rnacentral:other from 1 species
UAUCCCCUGCGGUGUUCGCACACAUCCGGGAAGACCCUUGAGCCUUAACGCAGCACCAAAGGGGAACGAUAUCGUGGUGCGGUGAGCACGUCCGCCUCCGAGCGGAAAGCCUGAAGCAUCACUGAGCUCCCCGCCUUGAACCUCCGGUUCAAGGACGAAGGAUGAUGCGGCACAGGCGGGGGAUAC